rnacentral:tRNA from 1 species
UGCAUCGACCGGGAAUCGAACCCGGGCCGCCCGCAUGGCAGGCGAGCAUUCUACCACUGAACCACCGAUGC